UACAGAAGGGGGCGAGGCGUUGUUCGGAAUUACUGGGCGUAAAGGCGCGUAGGCGGCCUGCUAAGUCGAACGGUGAAAAUCCCCGGGCUCAACCCGGGAACUGCGUCCGAUACUGGUGGGCUUGAAUCCGGGGAGAGGGAUGUGGAAUUCCAGGUGUAGCGGUGAAAUGCGUAGAUAUCUGGAAGGAACACCGGUGGCGAAGGCGACAUCCUGGACCGGUAUUGACGCUGAGGCGCGAAAGCGUGGGGAGCGGAACAGGA
rnacentral:rRNA from 1 species